rnacentral:rRNA from 1 species
UACAGAGGGUGCAAGCGUUGUUCGGAAUUAUUGGGCGUAAAGCGCGUGUAGGCGGCUUUGCAAGUCGGGUGUGAAAGCCCUCAGCUCAACUGAGGAAGUGCGCCCGAAACUGCAGAGCUUGAGUGCCGGAGAGGGUGGCGGAAUUCCCCAAGUAGAGGUGAAAUUCGUAGAUAUGGGGAGGAACACCGGUGGCGAAGGCGGCCACCUGGACGGGUAACUGACGCUGAGGCGCGAUAGCGUGGGGAGCAA